GUCUUCAUACAUUUGAUUCAAAGGUUAAAUGGCUUAAAGUAUACAACACACCUAAUAUGGUGCUUAGCUAUUAUAGCAAGCGAUCAAUAAAUGGCUGCUAUUUUUUUCUUGCCAUUAUUUAAUUACAAUCAGCAUAUGAGUGUAUUCAAAGGGUGAAAAUUUCAAUAUCUAUAGCAGUGAGUUUCCAACGUCUCAGCAGUUAAAAGAAAAAAAAAAAAAACCUGAUAAUGUACUGAAUCACAGAAUUUGAGGCCCCACUGAGGAAUUCUCAAGUCAGUCUGGGGCCAGACCUGCUAGUUGUAACAAGCUCCCACAUGAUGCUGAUAGGCCUAUUGAAACAGCUUCAUAAACUCAACAUGGAUGCCCUCCUCAAACUGGAUUACUUAAAAUAAAAAAUGUAGUCUAUCAACCACCACCACCACCAAUGAAAAUGCGUGCAAAUCCUACUUAUGUGUCUUUGCCGGAUUACAUACGACGAAGUACUCAUCAAAUACUCCCACAGGGAUUGGCUAGCUACUUUCCAAACCUGUUCCUUUCACUCCAACUAGACUCUGUCUCCCUGCCUCUGCUCAUUAGAUGUGGCCUCAAGACCAAGUCCCAUUCAACACAAGCAGCAAAGCAAUAUGCAACACUUCCAGGCUUAGCACGUAAGCCUUCGCCAUCCUCUUUUUCUUCCCUCAUUCAUUGGCUGGAGGGAGAGAAUCCCAAGGCCCUGAGGGAUUGGGAAACCACGAGAUGGAAGGUACCUGGUCCCCAAAUCAUCACAAGGAGAGCCACCUGGCAGACCCUUGCACCGACCCAUUCCAUGAGCUAAAAACAUGACCUUUUCUCGGGUUAGGUCACAGAAAACUGGGAUUGGUCUAUUACAGCAGCUAGCAUUAUCCUCAUACAAACAUCCACCCUGAUUAAAAGAGAGGUAGCAUGCUUUAACCCAAGAGAAAAGUCUCCUAACAUAUAUUCACCUUUAAGUGGAACAGAGGCGAUUUUUCAAAAGACACGUGAACCUAAAAAUCAAACCCCCCAAAUUGAAAUGAAAGUUACUGACUUUCAAGUCCUCUAAGCCUAACCUCAUCUCACGUAAACUUACGUCCGUGUGACACAAUGUCGGAAGGAUUUUAACGAGGCUCAAGGGUGGUUUGUAGACCGCCUCACCUGUAUCACAUUUUGGGGGGGAGGUUAACAGGUUACCGGCAAACAACAAGUAAACACAGCGGUUAACAUCUUCCCCAAACUUCUCUUUCAAUGAAAUUUUCAAGACACACCAAAAGUCAAAAGAAUAUAAAGCAUACCCUUUCAGCCACCACCUAGAUUCAACAAUUGUGAGUAUUUUGCCAUAUUUUUCUCUCUCCAUAUGUACUAUGUGCCCUUUUUUCGACUGAACUUUUUGCAAGUUGCACCUUUAGGAAGCAUACACUUCACCCCUAAAGACUUCCGCCUGUUUCUCCAAAGACACUCUCUUAUACAAAUAACCUCAAUUAUCACAUUUAAGACAAAUAACCGUAAUUCCCCAAUUUCAUUAAUACCGAAUCCACCUUCAAAGAUCCCCAAUUGUUCCCCCAGACAUUUCUAUAGCUCAUUUCCAUAAACCAGGAGCCAAUCAAGGGUCACGUGUCUUUGGCCUCCGUUAACUUAGAACACAGUCUUCGUCUGCUCAGGCUACUAGAACGAAAUACCAUAGACUGAGCUGCUUAAGUAGCAUUUGUUUCUCACAGUUCUGGAGGCUGGCGAGUCCAAAAUCAAAACACUGGCAGAUUAGGUGUCGGGUUAGGGCCCUCUUCCCGGCUCCCAGCUUGUAGAUCGCUGCCUUCUUCCUGUAGCCUCAGACAGAAGAGAGCAGGAGGUCUGGUCUCUUCCUGUUCUUAUAAGGGCACUGAGCCCAUCCUGCAAACUCCACCCUCAUAACCCCAUCUGAACCUAAUUUCCUCCCCAAGCGCCUACCUCCAAAGACCAUCACACCGGGCAUUGGGCCUUCAACACAGGAAUUUUUCAUUAGAGCUAGUAUUUAUUGGUUCUUUUCUAUAUUAUGAUUGAUUUAACAGUGUGUGUGUUAAUUUCUGCUGUACAGUCCAGUGAUUCAGUUAUAUAUACACGCAUAUUUUUAUAUAGCUUUCCAUUAUGAUUUCUCCCAGGAUACUGAAUAUAGUCCCCCGUGCUAUAUGGUAAGACUUUGUUGUUUACCCCUUCCAUACUUCCGCAUUGACUAACCCCAAAAUCCCACUCCAUCCUUCCUCCAAAUGCCCCCCCCAGCAACCAGAAGUCUGUUCUCUAUGUCUGUGAGUCUGUUUCUGCUUCGUAAAUAGGCUCCUCUGUGUUGUAUUUUAGAUUCCACAUAUAAGUGCUAUCACAUGAUAUUUGUCUUCCUCCGUCUGACUUCACUUAGUAUAAUAACCUCUAGGUCCAUCCACGUAGCUGUAAAUGACAUUAUUUCAUUCUUUUUCAUGGGUGAAUAAUAUUCCUUUGUGUGCACACAAGUGUGUGUGUGUGUGUGUGUACACACCACAUCUAGAUAGGUAUGUAGAAUCUAAAAUAUGACACCCCAUAGGAAUUUUGAGAAAUAGGAAAUUUGAGAGGACACAAUUCAGUCACUUAUCCUGUCUGUUUCUCUUGACAUUGACUUUUUGAAGAAACCAGGACAACUGCCUUGUAGAUUUUCCCACAUUUUGGAUAUGUCUGUUUCCACAUGAUAUUUUAUAACGCAUUUCUCUAUGCCCUAUAUUUCCUAUACAUUGGAAGAUGUGCCUAAAACCGCAGUUAGAUUCAGAGGAAACAUCUGGAGGACGAACACUACGUGGGUAAAGCUGUAUGCUUCUUGCAACACAUCAGGAGGCGCAUAAUACCAGACGCUUCACAAGGCGCGAGGUGAAUCUGAUGACUUGGUCAAAAGACGGUGACUGCCAGCCCUCUCCGCUGUAAAGGUACCUUCUUUCCUUUGCGAUAGCUAAGGAACCUGUGGGGGUGAUGCGCAGCACCAGGAAAGUACCAUGGUCCCCAGCAACCUCUCACCCAUGGCUCUGGAAGUCACUGAAAAUCCUUGUCUAAAUCAAUUAUCACUGGGGUUGUGAAAUGGUGAUUUCUUCUCUCAUCAUUCCAAAAAGGUCCUAAGAUACGCUUUCAGGAAAGGUCAUUUUUCUUAUUUUAAGGCUUCCAUUUAUAAAUUUUAAAUAACUAAUGCUAAGUAACCAUAUAACCUGUAAUUGAUUUCUAAUGCAUCUUUGAUACAAAAAAAAGUUGUCUGCUUUAUUUUAAAACAAUGUUUCCAUUGCAAAAGUAAUGUGUCAGUGUUAGACAUUUCAGCGCAUUCAGAAGAGAGUGAAUGGAAAAGCAGUAUCUCCUCUCCAUCCCACCGUCAAAAGAUA
rnacentral:lncRNA from 1 species